rnacentral:tRNA from 1 species
GCCUGGGUGGCUCAGUCGGUUAAGCAUCUGACUUCAGCUCCAGUCAUGAUCUCACAGUUAGUGGGUUCGAGCCCCACCUUAGGCU